UUAAAUUGAAGAGUUUGAUCAUGGCUCAGAUUGAACGCUGGCGGCAGGCCUAACACAUGCAAGUCGAACGGUAACAGGAAGCAGCUUGCUGCUUCGCUGACGAGUGGCGGACGGGUGAGUAAUGUCUGGGAAACUGCCUGAUGGAGGGGGAUAACUACUGGAAACGGUGGCUAAUACCGCAUAACGUCGCAAGACCAAAGAGGGGGACCUUCGGGCCUCUUGCCAUCAGAUGUGCCCAGAUGGGAUUAGCUUGUUGGUGAGGUAACGGCUCACCAAGGCGACGAUCCCUAGCUGGUCUGAGAGGAUGACCAGCCACACUGGAACUGAGA
rnacentral:rRNA from 3 species